GAUGAACGCUGGCGGCGUGCCUAAUACAUGCAAGUCGAGCGAACGGACGAGAAGCUUGCUUCUCUGAUGUUAUCGGCGGACGGGUGAGUAACACGUGGAUAACCUACCUAUAAGACUGGGAUAACUUCGGGAAACCGGAGCUAAUACCGGAUAAUAUUUUGAACCGCAUUGUUCAAAAGUUAAAUACGGUCUUGCUGUCACUUAUAGAUGGAUCCGCGCUGCAUUAGCUAGUUGGUAAGGUAACGGCUUACCAAGGCAACGAUGCAUAGCCGACCUGAGAGGGUGAUCGGCCACACUGGAACUGAGACACGGUCCAGACUCCUACGGGAGGCAGCAGUAGGGAAUCUUCCGCAAUGGGCGAAAGCCUGACGGAGCAACGCCGCGUGAGUGAUGAAGGUCUUCGGAUCGUAAAACGCUGUUAUUAGGGAAGAACAUAUGUGUAAGUAACUGUGCACAUCUUGACGGUACCUAAUCAGAAAGCCACGGCUAACUACGUG
rnacentral:rRNA from 1 species